CGAUGAAGAAGAUGAAAACGCUGAGAGUUGUCUGAAUGGUUUGUUCCCGACCGACAUGGAACUCGCUCAAUUCACUGCUGACGUGGAGACUCUCCUCGGUGGAGGGAUAGAGCGAGAGAUCCAUGACAUGGAAGAGCUAGGGUUAGGUGAGAUGCUAAAGAUUGAGCAUGAGGAGGAAGAAGUUGCGACAAGAGAAGUGUGUGAUCUAAAUGACGCUGAUGAUGAGACUUCUCCAUUUGAAAUAAGCUUUGAUUAUGAGUACUCAAACAAGACGGCAUCAGAAGAAGAAGGAGAAGAAGAAAAAGAAGACGUAAUUAAGAAUAUGACGGGCG
rnacentral:lncRNA from 1 species